AAUACGAUUGACAAGAUUGACUUCAUAGAUGACAAAACCCGAUGCGAUCAGGGAAGAUCAGUCAACGAUAUUUUCCCACGACAUAAGUGAUAUUUCGAGACAAUAUUGCAAUGUGGAUGUAUCAUUGUCUUGUGGCGACAUGUAAAGUUCUAAUGGAAUUGCACGGAAAGGAUAUUUAAUCUAGAAUACAUACUUUAUGGUAUCAAUCCAUUGGUAAAAAAAAACAAAAAUCAAGUAUCAUUUCAAAGAACAUUUCCAGUGUGUAAUUUUAUAAAUAUAAUUCUUAAAAUCGUGGUAGAAUUGGACAGACAUAGUUUGGCUAAUAACACAUGUCGGACGCUACUAACCGUGAAGUAGAAAAGAUCUCUUGUUGCAAAAUCAUUACAGCACACAUUCCUUAAGAGAGCCUAUUUUGAAUGGUCUUUAUGGUCAAUUAUUUUGAUUUAUUAUUAAUCAAAUUAAUCAACUAUCAAAACGUAUUUAAAGCAGAAAUAAUUUCCCAUGAACAAAUAACACAAUUGUAAACAUUUAUAUGCCGAUUAACUUGUGUAUUGACCUUGCGUUGAUACCAAAACAUUGGCAAGUAAACUGAAUGCCAAUGUAUAUCGUGUGUUAUUUUAUCCUUUCCUAGGUUCACGCAGAAUGCAUCGCAUCGAAAGGGAUAUCAAGUUAUGACUCUACGUGCCGAGAUCUUCGUUGGGAUCCAGCCCUGCCGAAUUGCGAUGGAGGAAACCAACAAAUUUCAAAUAAACAAGCAACAAUAAUGAUCGCCUCAGUGGUAACUUCGGUGGCGUUACUCGGUGCAGUCAUUGCUCUAGCUAUUUAAUGCUGUAAACUUAAAAGAAAGCAAACAGAGAAACCGACAGAUACAAACUAUUUCACAACAACCGAGGUGUUAAAGGGCCAAUCAAAUUACGACAUGUUUGACACAUACACAGUCACAGGGCAGGGCAGUGGAACGAACCGUUAACGAUGCUUCGAACACAAACGAAGUUUCAUCAAAAGCACGGUUAACUAAUCAAUCCGUUUAAAUUUCGUCUUAAAACCUUAUUUGAUGCGAGUACAACAAAGAUAAAUGUAAGCACGUAUGCUAUAAAAUGGCUAAGUUUGAAAAUAAAAUUGAAUUCCAAUUGUUAAAAAUAAAAAUGAUAACACGACAUCAUCCCUCGAAACUUUGUUGUUACUUUCAUUAAAUGUUUUACAUUUAGAAACAUAUUUUUAUUUGAUGUGUGGUCAAAAACUUCUGAGGGUUGCAGAAAGAGUUUGUCAUUUAUCUAAGAUAAUGGUUUAUGUUUUUGCAUGAUUUGUGUAUAAUCAGCCUUUGAACUUAAACACAAUUGAUCGAGGUGUGGUUAUUGGCAGCUGUUUUAAACAAUAAUGACCUAAUGGAAAAACCAACAUCGGAUGGUAUUCGAAUGGAAAAAUCAUAGGACUCGCGCUCAUUGCGGUUGUAGACGUGUUUUUGUUGUCGAGUAAGAUUAAUUGUAUUAUGUGACUUAAUUCGUAUCUUCUGAUGUCUCUAAAAGGAUAUGUGCAAUUAAUGGUAGUAGAUUGUGCCCGUUGAUAUCGUAAUUAUGAUGUUCUUUUCGACACCUUAUUCACCUGUUUGUCAAAGGUAUUUAUUUCUAUAUAUAGCAUACAUUUAUGAAACUAGUCUAAUUCCGUCCUUUGAUAAUCAAUAACAAGUGUUUACUUAUGUUGUAUAUUUCGCGUUUUCCUCGCAUUCAUGCAGCUUGACCGUUACGAAUCUAUACUUGCCAGAAUAUUAAGCGUCGAAAUGAAUAGCAAUUAUACUCCCAUACAAGGGAAACGAAUGGAUAUUAACUGCUGCUUUGGUGCUCUAAUUGACAAAUGUUUUUCAUUUUCCACUUGAGGCACGUUCUGAUGACAUUUUCUCUUUAAAUUGUUUAUUUGUGAAUACAUAACCUAAUACCUGCUUAGUUAAUUUCAGUACAAUUGUGUUAAUUUUAUUUUCAAUAUGUUCAUGAUUUAUUUGAAAUCCGACUUACAAUUAUUAAAAUGUGUUAUGUAAAGAUCAGUGUGCACAAACACAUACGAAAAAAAACUGUAACAUUUGGAAAAAGUGACGAUCAGCUCAUGAAAUUGCUUUUCAAAUGGUUUCACAGAACACGCGCUCCUUUUCUGUUUAAGUGAAAAAGUUGUUGACGUGGCGGUUAGUGACCUUCACCAGAGUGUUAAUCACGCUGAUAUAAUGUUGUAUGCAUUUCUAAUUUGAACCGGUCUUGUAACAAUAUUGAACAUUGUUGACACAACGGCAAUUGUAUAGGUAUGAUCAAUAUCACUUUGCCAAUUAACAUAAAUGGUGAUUUCGAGCAGCUGUUUAAACUUGUUGAAUACAUGAUAAAUUACAAAUAGAUGAUACAUUCAUCUU